GGUGAGGUAGUGGCUCACCAAGGCGACGACGGGUAGCCGGCCUGAGAGGGCGACCGGCCACACUGGGACUGAGACACGGCCCAGACUCCUACGGGAGGCAGCAGUAGGGAAUCUUGCGCAAUGGGCGAAAGCCUGACGCAGCAACGCCGCGUGGGGGAUGAAGGCCUUCGGGUUGUAAACCCCUUUCAGCAGGGACGAAAAUGACGGUACCUGCAGAAGAAGCUCCGGCCAACUACGUGCCAGCAGCCGCGGUAAUACGUAGGGAGCAAGCGUUGUCCGGAAUUAUUGGGCGUAAAGAGCUCGUAGGCGGUUCGGUAAGUCGGGUGUGAAAAUCCAGGGCUCAACCCUGGGACGCCACCCGAUACUGCUGUGACUAGAGUCCGGUAGAGGAGUGUGGAAUUCCUGGUGUAGCGGUGAAAUGCGCAGAUAUCAGGAGGAACACCAGCGGCGAAGGCGGCACUCUGGGCCGGUACUGACGCUGAGGAGCGAAAGCAUGGGGAGCAAACAGGAUUAGAUACCCUGGUAGUCCAUGCCGUAAACGUUGGGCACUAGGUAUGGGGUCUUAUCAACGGAUUCCGUGCCGUAGCUAACGCAUUA
rnacentral:rRNA from 1 species